AAAAUACCACUACGUACUUAUAUAUAGGUACUAUUAUUACUAAUACAUAGCGAACAUAUUGUAUAUGUGUAUCAUGAAUGUCUGAUAUAAUAAUAUUUCAUAUUUAACUAUUAAAUUACGUGCUCGUAUUAUAUUAAUGCCUAUGUCGUUAUAUUACACGGACAUCUGCGUGUGUCUAUUAUGUCCAUACUAUUAUUAUAUGGAUGUAUAAUAGAUAUGAUGGUACUUACCUAGGAGGUAAGUACCGUCGAGUUUAGGAUGUUAUCGUACUUUUUAAAAAUAGUAGCAUACCAUUAAAUUUAAUUAAUCAAUGAUGUCAUGUUUUUAUUCUUCUAUGA